GACAGAGAAUUAAACGAGUUGAAUAAACGUCUGGAGCAGAAAGAGGUGUGAUUCUAUUACAUAUUAAUUGGUUCAUAUUAUUCUUCCAACUAAAAUUUAAGGGGUUUUUAGACUUUGGUACGCCUAAAUAAUACCUAUUUAGGAAAUGGGACGCUUUUAAUUGGUAUUUAGAGUUUGGGGCACUUUCCGUGAGUUGACUAUGUUGACUGUUGUUUGCUUGUUAAUUUUUUUUAAAAUGAUAAUAUUACCCCUCUAUGUGUUUAGCACGAGAUUGAAUUUUAAUAACAAAACCGUUACACGUGUCAUUAUAUUAUCCAUUGAUUCCAUCUUAUGGUUGAUAAAUUGACAUGUGUCGUUAUACCAUCACUUGCAAAACUUUCAGGAUUUUAGUUAUUAGAGAAGAAGACACCCUGUGUUAAAUAAAAUUAGGGAAUAGGACACCUGUGCGGGGUAUUAUGGGUAUUUAUAAAAUAUGAGUUCUUUGACUUGAGUCAACGGUUAGUCAUAGCAGUCAACUGACGGGAAGGUGCCCCAUACUCUAAAUACCAAUUAAAAGCGUCCCAUUUCCUAGAUAGGCAUUAAUUAGGUGGCCUAAAGUCUAAAAACCCCAAAAUUUAAUUGUAUAUCUGAUUAGCCAUAUGAUCGAACAGCUAAGGUAGGAUGAUAGAAGAAAUGAAUAUGAACGGCUUAAACAUCAAUCUUUGAUCCAGUGUAAGUUUACCCAUUUUUGAAUUUCCUCACUUUAACUUUUAUGUUUUAUGCUUAUAUCAACAUGUUGAUUCACACCUAAAUCAAUGAAAGCUUUUCUCUUGCAGGUACUUCAAAGACAGACAGAACAGGCCGCAAUGGACGCCAAGAGGUUAAAGGAGUUGCUAGAAGCUCGUAAGUUGUCCGCAUGUGAUAGCUCAGUUGAAUAAUUUUCUUUAUUGCAAGAGGAGAUGAUUUCCAUGAAUUGGAUUACUAUGGUAGUCAUAGCUUGGGGACAGGGGUAUAAUUUCUGCCAAUUUUACUCUUAAUAAAUAGACAAGUUUAUUGUUCUAGCUACUUGAAUGAACACUAUUUUCAGAGUUGUCAGUAAAUUUCCCAGAGUUCUUGUAGAUUAACUAGAUUGUUGGAGCCCUCAAGCUACUCUUAUAUCAGCGAACAGUUGCAUAGACCUUCCAACAUAUAAAGCUAGGUUUUGUAGAACAACGUAAUGUUAUUUCUACUAUACUUAAAAAUGAUUUAUUCUGUAAUACAAAUGUUGCAGAUGGGAGUUAUCUGAGCAAUGGUUACCUUGACACCCCGAUAGACUGGAUACCUGGAAUGAGAAAUAUGACUUAAGAACCUGCCAAGCAUUAUUAAAACAACUGAUCGUGAUGAUAUCUUUGGCAAACAACCAUUGAAGGACACAUAAUAUAAACAAUUUUGAGAUAUUAGUGUCUAUGGAGUCAUGUAGAUCUCUUAUUUUUAUCGACUAAUGAUGACUGGGGUCUCUUUUGUACUUGAAAAUAAAUUAGAACCGUAGAAAUUGAAUUACUUAGUAUAAGAAUAAAUACUACAGUGAAGGCAUGAUGCCAUAUCUCUAUGCUUUUUUAGGUUACUAAUAACUUAGCAUGCUUUCACUUGCCAAACUGUCAUUAUUAGGAACUUCAUGUUGAUAAGCUACAUAAUGCAAUGAAGCAACACAAAGCAGGCAGCGAAGCAAUCAAAACGACAUUUUCCUGCGUGUACAGUUUCCUUUUCAGGUACAUAUUAAAUCUUUUAUUUUUAUCUUUCCUCGCCUAUUAUGUACUGAUUUCAAUUUGAAUUUGCUUAUCUGUGGUAAAGUGAAUGGAACCUCGUUUUGAAACAUCUCACCGCGCUCGAACAACUGACAAUCAACAAUUGUCCUAUAUUGGCUAAAUGACUCAGAGAAAGAGAAAUCUCAAGCUGUGUUAGCUCAAAGUCACACUCUUACAAGAUCUCCGUCCAUUUGGUGGAAUUGAAUGUUCUUGAGUAUCCAUUGGAGCAGUGGAAUCAGGUAUUCUUCGAAAACCUCUUUAUUUGUCUUCUCUUUAGUUUUGAGAAAUGCAUAUAUGUAAUCAUAUAACAACAGUAUCCUUUUAUCUUCUUAUGAUAUAGAAUACAUCUUAUUUGAGCCAUAGAAAGCGCCAUUUUCCACUGUCGUGCAGAGUAUCCUCCAGAGGUAUAUAUGUGCUCCAAUAUAUAUAUGAUAUUGGUUGCCAUUUAUUUCCCUUCUUUUCUGUGGGAACUUCUAUUUUGUGGUCUACCGUCUACGUCUACCCAAUGUUUUGUUGACAUUUUUAUAGUAAAAUUUAAGAAUUCUAUAAAUUCACGCAAUUACUCAGAAUCUAGAGAUCCAGGGUUUACUUUCUCAUAAAUUCUCUGGCGCACUUCUGAAUUUUUUCUUAGGAAUGAAAGUAGCUUUUUCAUAUUAACUCUUUGACUCUUUCAUCGUCUCCCUUUGACAUUCCACCAUUUGUUACAGGACUGUUCUGAUUAUAAAGGAACCAAUAAGGAAGUAAAGAGCCUUGACUGACGGUUUGGGGUUGAUGUUCACCAAGUUCCUGAUCAAGAAAGGGUCCAUUUUCAGAUUAUCUGGGGUUGACUACCAAAAGGAGCUAAUACUUGAAGCUCACCAAGCUGGCGUCAAGGUUGUUCACCAAGUGAGUUAAAUCAUUACACUGAAGCACUACUUAUAUGCUGGAAAUCGAACAUGAUCUAGAGAGAACCAACUACCCGUCACCUUGCAGGCUUGCACCUCACCAUCUCAGUUGAUGGAGGUAUAAUGGAAACUGAGAAAGAGAAAUUUAGUACAUAUUUUAUGCUUGAACAACUGAGAACUUAUGAUUGUCCUAUUUUGGCUUAGCGAUUCAGAAAAGGAGAAAUCUCAAGCUCUAGUUCACACUUUACAACAUCCAAAUUAUUAUAAAUAGGCAUGUUAUUUACAACAGGGCAAGUGCUUCACAGCUAAUUCUCACGUGCCUCGCCCG
rnacentral:lncRNA from 1 species